rnacentral:rRNA from 1 species
UAGGGAAUCUUCCACAAUGGACGCAAGUCUGAUGGAGCAACGCCGCGUGAGUGAAGAAGGCUUCGGGUCUAAAACUCUGUUAUUGAAGAAGAACGUGUGUGACAGUAACUGGUCAUGCAGUGACGGUAUUCAAUCAGAAAGUCACGGCUAACUACGUGCCAGCAGCCGCGGUAAUACGUAGGUGGCAAGCGUUGUCCGGAUUUAUUGGGCGUAAAGCGAGUGCAGGCGGUCUUUUAAGUCUGAUGUGAAAGCCUUCGGCUUAACCGAAGAAGGGCAUCGGAAACUGGGAGACUUGAGUGCAGAAGAGGAGAGUGGAACUCAUGUGUAGCGGUGAAAUGCGUAGAU